UACAUAGGUCAGUUUUCAUUUUCUGACAGCCAUAUUUUAAAAAUAAAAAAGAAGCAGGCAAAAUUCAUUUUAAUCCAAUUUCACUGAAUUAACCCAGUUUUGGAAGACAGAAUAAUGGCCCCUGAAGAUGUCCAUGGCCUAGCGUCCCGAAUCUGUGACUGUGUGUCCCACACGACAGCAGGGACUGCAGACGUGACUCAGGUCAGAAGCUUGAGAUGGGGAGAUUAUCCUGGAUCGCUGUGGGGAGGGGCGGCAAUGGGAUCAGGCGCCUGUGUAAGGAAAGAGGACGGCAGGAGGUCAGACAGAGGAAGACGUGAUGCCAGCAGCAGAGGGUGGAGCGACACUGUAAACACACUUGUGGGUGUUAUGUCCUCGUUCAGCUCUGAGAACCUGCAGAGCUUGAUAGAGACAACUCAAUAGAGGCUUCAGAGAAAUCGCCACCAUAGCUUAUGCUCGGACAAUCCCCAUGCCUCAUGCCUGAUGCUGUGUAAGCCAC